CCAACAUCUACUUUUAAAAUAUGCUUUUAUGUUUAAUGAUUAUUGUUGCCUCUUUUAUUUCCACCAUCUCAUGUAUGUGAGCAUUGUGACUUAAUAAAGACCCAGGUCAAUGUCCAUCAUAAUUGAAGACUUUGUUCCCAUCAACAAAUAUUUUUUGUGUGCCUACAUUUUCCAGCCACUUUCCAGGAUCCAGGGAUUCAACAGUGAACACCUUCAGUCUUCACAUGGAGGCCGUGAUAGGAAAGCCUUGACCUUCAGUGCUGGACAGCAGAAGAGGAGACAAUGCGGAUAUAUGCAGUGGGCAGGAAAUGAGGAAAAACCUGUGCAUUCAGCUAGAGGCAAAGGUUGGCAUACAUGUCAAGAGAAUGUUCUCCAGCUGGGGCCUGCAGUACAGAGAAUUGUAUAUACCAGAGAGCCCAUGGGACUCUAGGCAGAUUAUUAUGGUAAUAUUGGAGGCUGCUGUCCUCUCCCUCCCACAGCUGGGCCGCCUCUCUCAUUAUGUCUCAUUACAGAUGAACUACAAGCCUAUACCUGUUAGGAGCCGACCUGAAGAAAAUAAAGUCCAGCAGUGGCUGCAGGAUAUUUUUCUCUCUUUCCCCUACUACAUAGAGAUAUGUAUGGAUAAAAUUGGGU
rnacentral:lncRNA from 1 species